CUUUUUUUUCCACUUUAUCCAGACUCAAGGUGAUUUAGUCAAUGGACUACUUUGUUCAAUUGGUUUUUCCAAACUGGGUGAAGGAAGGGAGGCUGUAAAGGGAAAUUUCAAAUGAUUUAUUUUAUAUUUUACAUGUAUAUGUGUGCACAUCAGGUCCCCUGAAAGUGGAGUUAGAGCAGUUGGAGCUUCCACGUGGAUGCAGGGAACAGGACCCAGGUCCCCUGUAAGAGCAGCAGUUGCUCUUGUCUGCUGAAUGAUCUCCUCAGGCCCGGAAGGUUAUUUUAAAAAGGAGGAUCUAACGCUUUUGUGAUCACGAAUGGAUCUUACUCUUUUCAGAAGGGCUUGGGUGGGGAAGAUAGAUCCAAGAGGACUUCAGAGCCCGAGGAAGUCAUUGAUGGAAGAAUCCUAGGAUCCUGACUGACUGUAGAGUAAGGACCAGCCCCACCUGCCUUGAACUGUGAUAGAUAUGGAGUUUGAGCUGAGCUGAAGCCACAUGGAAGUUUAAAUCCUAUGGAAGGAGCUGGAAAGUUGGAUCUCCGGUUAAGAGUAUCAUCUGCUCUUACAGAAGACUCAAGUAUGGUUCUUACACCCACAUAGGCAGCUAACUACUGUCUGUCACUCCAAGUCUACGAGAUGCAAUGCAACAGGGUUACAAGUCUGCAAGAUGACAGGGUUAUUUGGUUUAAGGAUGUGGGUUGUCACUCAGUAGCCCCCUCUGAAUGAGCAAUGCCAAGGAGCUGUUGUGUAAAACCUUGGUCUGCAUGAGGUUCUGAGACAUGGAAAUGGUAUAAAGAAAGACCAUGUACUCACCAUGCCCCAGCAACUGAUGAGCUAUGACAGACCUACAGUCCUACCCUGCCAGGGCACACUCUUCUGGACUCUCCUAGUUAUGAGGAAAGAGAAAGGAAAAAGAGGUCUUUCUUGCUAGCGACCCCAGCCCCUAUGGCCUGUUCUUCUCUAGUGCAGAAACGUUAAUCCUGAAGGUUUCAUGGGUUAACCAGGGUGAAGAUAUAUCAUCGGGGGCAUAAGAGAUGGAAAUUUGCCUGGACUGCCAUGCAGGGAAAGGUGAACAAGUGGCCCCAAAAUGUUUUAAUUUCAUGGGCAUUCCGUGUAUAGUAACAAAUGCCCACAAAAAUACAGAAGUUAAGAAUUAAUACCAUGAACACUGAAUGAGAUCAAUUUUAAAUAGUAUGUAUCUUCUGUAUAUUGGACAGUGUAGGGGAAGGCAGUGGCCAGAGAAGGGAAUACAGAACAAUGUGCAUCCCUGCCAAUCUCAGUCUUGCUAUGGUACAGAGAACUGAGGAAAACUAGCAACAAUGUGAUACCAUUACAAAAAAAUCCACAAAGUAUUAGAGUGAACCCAGAAGGAGAAAUAUCAGAGUCAGGAGAGGGAAUGCAGUCACUAGAGAGAGUUAGAGAAAGCAAAGGAGGAGACUGCCCAUGUUGGACAGCUUCACAACCACUGGCAACUUCAACUCUAGGAGAACCGACACCCUUUGGGCCAAGAAAGGGAACCUUAAACCACCAAGGCAAUGAAACAAAUGGGAAGAUGAGAACCAGAGUAGGGGUCCCCCAGGUUGUGCUCUGGAUUCAGUGGGGGUCUCCAGUAGACCUGUGGAGCCUGCCCAUGAGGUGUGAACUAAAAGAAGUAUGAAUCGGAAUGGUAAGGAAGUGAACUGAGGCAAAUUCAUUCGCUUUUAAGGGGAAGGUCCUCACUGCCUUUUUAGAACAAUGAGACAGAAUCAAAGUCAGUGGUUCUCAGCCUUCCUAAUGCUGCCACCCUUUAUUAAAGUUCCUUAUGCUGUGUUAACCCCCAACCAUAAAAUUAUUUUUGUUAAUACUUCAUAACUGUAAUUCUGCUACUGCUUGAAUUGUACUGUAAAUACCUGUGUUUUCUGAUGGUCUAAGGCAAAACUUGUGAAAAGAUCACGAGGUCAAUACCCACAGGUUGAGAACCUCUGAUCUACAGUCUCCGUGUUAAAAGGUUCACAAUGCCUGGUUUAGAAUCCAAAGUCACAUCACAUGGGAAAAAUCAGCAAGAUGUGACCCGUUCUUAGGGGACCUGUGAUGGACAGACAACAGUCCUGAUGCCACCCAGGUGCUAGACUUUGCAGGUGAGGAUUUGAAUGUUUCUACCAUAAUUAUGAUCAAGAGAUAAUGGAAAAAUAUGCUCACAGGUAAUGAACUAGUAAAGAAAAAUAAAGAACCAUGUAAGGUUCAACCGUAAAUUUUAGAAUACAGAAGUAUAACAUUUAUUCUUAUUGUUAUUAUUAUUGUCAUUAAUUAAUAUUAAUUAUAAUAUUUAUGUGUAUUAUAUAAAUAUGCUAUACAUCAUAUUUAUAUACUUUAUAUAGUAUAAUACAAUAUUAACAUAUUAUUAGUAUUAGCAAUGAUAAUUAUUAAUAAUAAUCUUAGGUAGACUUAGGGAAAGCAUAGAGAUGGUAAAGGAAGGAAUCAAUACAUCUAAAGGUACAUUAAUAUAAAUUAUCCAAUUAAAAGAAGCUAGGGCUGGCUCAGUGGGUGAAGUAUUUGCUUGCCAGGAAGAAGACCUGAGUUUGGUGCCCAGAACCCACAUGUUGAAGGCCAAUGCUAGGAAACAGAUAUGGGAGAAGCUUGGGGGCUCAUCAGACAACUAAUCCUGUGAGUCAGUGAGAUCCAAGGAUCUCCAGGAUCACUGAAAAUCCCUGUCUUAAAACAUAAGAGGCAGUGGGGGAACUGGAGGAAGAUGUCUGACAGGUACAUGCAUGCACCUGUAUGUGAGUGUGUGUGUGUGUGUGUGUGUGUGCGCACGCGUGUGUGCCAGUUGUUAAGGGAGAUCCAAGGAUCUCCAGGAUCACUGAAAAUCCCUGUCUUAAAACAUAAGAGGCAGUGGGGGAACUGGAGGAAGAUGUCUGACAGGUACAUGCAUGCACCUGUAUGUGAGUGUGUGUGUGUGUGUGUGUGUGUGUGUGUGUGUGCGCACUCGUGUGUGCCAGUUGUUAAGGGCCUAAUGCUACCGCCUGAACCACAGAAAAGGUGAGGAAAACAAAGGCAGCAAAAUUAAAACCCAGCACAAACCUCCGAUCACAGUACACUGGGGACAGAGACAGGAAAUCAGUUCAAGACCAUCCUCAGCUACACGAGUUUGAGGCCAUCCUGGGCUACAUGAGGCCCUGCCUCAAGGAGAAAAGAGUAGGAAAUAAUCUGAAGUCAUCGUGUGAUAGAAAAGUAUGGUGACUGUAAGAUGUGUUAGCAUUUUGUUGACUUUUGAACUAGGAAGCAUUUCUAAGGCACGUAGCUUACUGUGUAUUAACUAUGCCUGUUCGUAACAUUGCUGUACUAAGUUGUAAAGAACAAUAAAAAUAAGUGAAAUGA